GAUGAACGCUGGCGGCGUGCUUAACACAUGCAAGUCGAACGGAAAGGCCCAAGCUUGCUUGGGUACUCGAGUGGCGAACGGGUGAGUAACACGUGGGUGAUCUGCCCUGCACUUCGGGAUAAGCCUGGGAAACUGGGUCUAAUACCGGAUAGGACCACAUUUUGGAUGGUGUGGUGGAAAGUUUUUCGGUGUGGGAUGAGCUCGCGGCCUAUCAGCUUGUUGGUGGGGUAAUGGCCUACCAAGGCGUCGACGGGUAGCCGGCCUGAGAGGGUGUACGGCCACAUUGGGACUGAGAUACGGCCCAGACUCCUACGGGAGGCAGCAGUGGGGAAUAUUGCACAAUGGGCGCAAGCCUGAUGCAGCGACGCCGCGUGGGGGAUGACGGCCUUCGGGUUGUAAAUUCCUUUCGCUAGGGACGAAGCGUUAUGUGACGGUACCUGGAGAAGAAGCACCGGCUAACUACGUG
rnacentral:rRNA from 1 species